ensembl:lncRNA
CUCCCACGAUCCAAAGACAUGCAUGCUAGGUUAAGUGGUGAUUCUACAUUGCCAUUAGGUGUGAAUGUGAGUGUGAAUGGCUGUCUACCUCUCUAUGUUAGCCUUGUGAUAGACUGGUGACUCGUCUAGCAAGUACUCCAUCUCUCACCCUUCGACAGCUGGGAUGGUUUCCAGUUCCCCCGUGACCCUGGAGUGGAUAAGCAGAAGAAAAUGGUGAUAUUUGUUUUCUGUACCAGAAGCGCAGAUGAAUCUUUAAUGAAUAGGAACGGUGUUUUUAACUGAAUGUAUAUGCACAAGAAAUGAGUGCACAAGAAGGACUGGAAAGACUAAUGACAUUCAGCAGACUCCUUGUGUUUUCUUAGUUUCAGUUUAACCCAAAGUGGCAUUUCAUGUUUGGGUAAGAAUGUUUGCCCGGUAUGCCCGCUGGUGAUUUUUCGUUUUUAUGGGCUGAUGUUUUGUUUUUUUGAUUUUUUCCCCCGUAUAAACACUGAAAGCUGGUGGAUUGGCCAGAUGCUGGGAGGUGCGUAAAAAUAACUCAAUUGUUUAGUGGUGGCUAUUGCAGAGCUUCCACAGAUUCAGUAACAUUAGCAAGUGGUGGAGGCCUGCAGAUGCAACACGCUGGCAGGUGGAUGACGGAAAGGCAGGAGGAGCAGAGACCCGAGGCGGUGAACUGAACUUCAGGUAAGAAGUUAUGACCUGCAGUCUACCUGGGUCAGAUAUAAACCAAGUUUAGGUGGAGUUUAUUUUCGUUAUGCUGACUUUUUACAGUCAGUUAUAAUAACUCAUACUGCGUACUAGCUAGCAUGACAGAGUUUCUAUACUGCUGGGUGGGUGCUAUGAUGUUAUUGAUGUUGAACUUGUUUUAUUUUAUUUUAUUUGUAAGGUUAGUUAGUAGAGUUUCCAAUCGUCCCGUAAAAAAUGGAAUCGUCUCGUAUUCAGAGAAAAUAUUGCGCGUUUCGUGUUGAGGUGAAAAGGAACGCAGUUUGUCCCGGACUUCAGCUACAAUGAAAAAGACACAAAGCUGGAGCUGCACAGCUGCCUCUUCUCCUCUCAUUCUCUCCCCCUCCCUCUCCUGUUUCUACUUCAAUCAUGAAACUGAUCAAUGAUCAGCUGAUCGGCUUUUCUCUCUUGUUUGUUUAUCGCCCACUUUGCGCCAGAAAGAGGAAACCAGUGGAUGUCGCGCUAAACAACAGCAGCACCUUUAAGCUUGAUAAGCUGUUGUUAGAAUUUAUUUAAUAUUAAUUUCUAGUAUCAGCUGAUGUUUGCUGGAGCCACAGCUGUAAAGCUGCUGGUCAUGAUGUCUGUUUAGAUAUGUGGUGAGAGGGAAACAUGAAGAUGAAACCAGGAGAUGUCCUUACUGGAUCAUCAGAGCUGAGCAGGUGAUGGAGAAACAGGUUUACCUUUUAGGUGACAUGAAUGAGUUGAAGGGAAGUUAUGAACUGUUUCUGAGAGACAAAUAACACCAGGAUCCUUUUUUAGGUAGCUGACAGCUGGUAACUGUGCAGGGGCGGGUCUAGCAAAGUGUUGCCAGGGGGCCAGGUAGGGCAUUAACAGGGAGAGGGGGGCA